rnacentral:rRNA from 1 species
UCAGGAUGAACGCUAGCUACAGGCUUAACACAUGCAAGUCGAGGGGCAGCAUGUGGUUGCUUGCAACCGAUGAUGGCGACCGGCGCACGGGUGAGUAACGCGUAUCCAACCUUCCCCUUAGUAGGGCAUAGCCCGUAGAAAUGCGGAUUAAUACCCUAUGUUCUUCGAAGCGGUCAUCCAAUUUGAAGCAAAGAUUCAUCGCUAAGGGAUGGGGAUGCGUCCGAUUAGGUUGUUGGCGGGGUAACGGCCCACCAAGCCAUCGAUCGGUAGGGGUUCUGAGAGGAAGGUCCCCCACAUUGGAACUGAGACACGGUCCAAACUCCUACGGGAGGCAGCAGUGAGGAAUAUUGGUCAAUGGGCGAGAGCCUGAACCAGCCAAGUAAGCGUGAGGGAUGACGGCCCUACGGGUUGUAAACCUCUUUUGUACGGGAAUAAAGUGCGCCACGCGUGGCGUUUUGUAUGUACCGUAAGAAUAAGGACCGGCUAAUUCCGUGCCAGCAGCUGC